rnacentral:rRNA from 1 species
UACGAAGGGGGCUAGCGUUGCUCGGAAUCACUGGGCGUAAAGGGUGCGUAGGCGGGUCUUUAAGUCAGGGGGGAAAUCCUGGAGCUCAACUCCAGAACUGCCUUUGAUACUGAAGAUCUUGAGUUCGGGAGAGGUGAGUGGAACUGCGAGUGUAGAGGUGAAAUUCGUAGAUAUUCGCAAGAACACCAGUGGCGAAGGCGGCUCACUGGCCCGGUACUGACGCUGAGGUGCGAAAGCGUGGGGAGCAAACAGG